UUUGCUUUAUGUUUGACAUGGAAAUGAAGUCCAUUCAUGCUUUUGCUGAGGCUUCCAUGAACACUGCUUAUUAGAAGAAGUGUCCUCUUUAUCUUAGUACAAAAAAUACUAUUCUUAAGAAGUAUGAUGGAAGAUUUAAGGAUAUCUUCCAAGAAGUUUAUGAGGCUAACAAGAAAU